GAUGAACGCUGGCGGCGUGCCUAAUACAUGCAAGUCGAGCGAACAGACGAUGAUCUUGCUCCUCUGACGUUAGCGGCGGACGGGUGAGUAACACGUGUAUAACCUACCUAUAAGACUGGGAUAACUUCGGGAAACCGGAUCUAAUACCGGAUAAUAUAUUGAACCGCAUGGUUCAAUAGUGAAAUACGGUUUUGCUGUCACUUAUAGAUGGAUCCGCGCCGCAUUAGCUAGUUGGUAAGGUAACGGCUUACCAAGGCAACGAUGCGUAGCCGACCUGAGAGAGUGAUAGGCCACACUGGAACUUAGCCACGGUCCAGAGUCCUACGGGAGGGAGCAGUAGGGAAUCUUCCGCAAUGGGCGAAAGCCUGACGGAGCAACGCCGAGUGAGUGAUGAAGGUCUUCGGAUCGUAAAACUCUGUUAUUAGGGAAGAACAAAUGUGUAAGUAACUAUGCACGUAUUGACGGUAACUAAUCAGAAAGCAACGGCUAACUACGUG
rnacentral:rRNA from 1 species